GACGAACGCUGGCGGCGUGCUUAACACAUGCAAGUCGAACGAUGACGACCGAGCUUGCUCGGUCUGAUUAGUGGCGAACGGGUGAGUAACACGUGAGCAACCUGCCCUUCACUCUGGGAUAACCUCGGGAAAUCGGGGCUAAUACCGGAUAUGAGCUCCUGUCGCAUGGCGGGUGUUGGAAAGUUUUUCGGUGAAGGAUGGGCUCGCGGCCUAUCAGUUUGUUGGUGAGGUAGUGGCUCACCAAGGCGAUGACGGGUAGCCGGCCUGAGAGGGCGACCGGCCACACUGGGACUGAGACACGGCCCAGACUCCUACGGGAGGCAGCAGUGGGGAAUAUUGCACAAUGGGCGAAAGCCUGAUGCAGCGACGCCGCGUGAGGGAUGACGGCCUUCGGGUGGUAAACCUUUUUCAGCAGGGAAGAAGCGAAAGUGACGGUACCUGCAGAAGAAACGCCGGCUAACUACGU
rnacentral:rRNA from 1 species